CUCGGAGGCUCGGACCUCGCCGCCGCCCCCUCCCCUCCCCACCCCUCGAGUGAGGAGGAGGUCGGUAGGCGUCCCCAGAUCCGUUAAGAGAUUCGAACUUGAGCUCUCGAUCGCUCGCACACCGGGCACAACCUCCGUCUGCUCUUCUUGCUCGCCGGCGACGCCAGCAUGGAGCUUCCUCCGUGCUCGCUCGGGCUAGGGACGCUCCUGCUCGUCAAGAUAAGUAAAGAAUUCACCCUUGAUGCUGCUUCUUUAGUUGAGACAAUCUGGUCCCUGGCUUCUACUGGAACGAGAUGUGCGAUGGCUCAUCUCACUCAACUCUUGAAGACAGCGUGUGUACCAGGAAAGGAGAAUGGCAGAAAUGCAAGUUGUGACUACUUGGAGUGGUUUUGAUUUGGCCACUUCCCUCCCUGAUGUGCGCGUGCAGGUGCUCUGUGUGCUUCCUUCUUCCCUUCCUGGGACGCCGCUCUCCCGCUGCUCUAACGCCAUGGAUUGACAAAUUUGGACGUACUGGACUGGCACAAGAGCACAUUUUGGUUCCAUUUUUACAGGUAAGUAAAGAAUUCACCCAUGCUGAUGCUUGUUCAGUUGAGACAAUCUGCUCCCUGGCUGCUACUGGAACGAGAUGUGUGAUGGUUCAUCUCACUCAGCUCUUCAAGACAGCGUGUGUACAAGGGAAGGAGAAGGGCAGAAAUGCAAGGGUGACUGCUUGGAGUGGUGCUUUGUGUGCUUCAUUCUUCCCUUCCCGGGACGCCGCUCUCCCGCUUCUCUGACGCAAUAGACAGACAAAUCCAAAAUUUUUGGAGCAGGACACUCGCUUGACAUUUUGUUAUACAUGCAACUAAGCCGGUCAGUUAGCGGCUCUUAGAUCUAUCCGCCACGGUCACCAUGAUGAUGACGACCUCCCCUCCACAUGCUUGUGCUCGGUCGACGACGCGACCGUCUCUUCCUCACCUCACCUCACCUUAGGUUGGCGGCGUCCAGAUCAAGUGGAUUCGUCAAUGGCCUCGACAGAUGCAGUCUGAUUGCUCUGUCACGCCGUCAUGAAGGCUCCUUCUCCACAACCACACACGGGAAGCCAUGGAAGCUCCAUGUGCUUGUUCUCCAUGGAGGUCAGCAGCUGCCGCGAUGGAAGCAGGUCCCAGAGCUUGUCAAGGUUAGGAUUUGGCAGCUGCACUCCCUCCCUAUUGAUUAACCUAUGCUAGUUUUUGAUAGUUUGCCUUAAUUUUGCUUCUAGCACAUGGUUUUGCAUGUAUUGCUAGCGUAUAUUAAACUAGCAAGAAAUAAGUGGCUCUGAAGCUACUUUUUUUACCAGUCUAGUCUUGAUUAAAUCCAGACUUUAUUUACUCGUAGAUGUAUAUUGCUUCUUUUGGUUGGUACCUGCUAACUGGUGGGAUGUGGAUUACGUCAGAUGUUUAUGUCAGGUGAUGAAUGUAUCUGUGAUGAAUUUUUAUGCUUUGUUUAGAGAACUCACUUGGGUUUGCUCACUCAAAAU